rnacentral:rRNA from 1 species
GACGAACGCUGGCGGCGUGCUUAACACAUGCAAGUCGAACGGAAAGGCCCUGCUUUUGUGGGGUGCUCGAGUGGCGAACGGGUGAGUAACACGUGAGUAACCUGCCCUUGACUUUGGGAUAACUUCAGGAAACUGGGGCUAAUACCGGAUAGGAGCUCCUGCUGCAUGGUGGGGGUUGGAAAGUUUCGGCGGUUGGGGAUGGACUCGCGGCUUAUCAGCUUGUUGGUGGGGUAGUGGCGUACCAAGGCUUUGACGGGUAGCCGGCCUGAGAGGGUGACCGGCCACCUUGGGCCUGCGAUACGGCCCAGACUCCUACGGGAGGCAGCAGUGGGGAAUAUUGCACAAUGGGCGGAAGCCUGAUGCAGCAACGCCGCGUGCGGGAUGACGGCCUUCGGGUUGUAAACCGCUUUCGCCUGUGACGAAGCGUGAGUGACGGUAAUGGGUAAAGAAGCACCGGCUAACUACGUG